UACAGAGGUCCCAAGCGUUGUUCGGAUUCACUGGGCGUAAAGAGCUCGUAGGCGGCUUGGUAAGUCGGGUGUGAAACCUCCAGGCUCAACCUGGAGACGCCACUCGAUACUGCCAUGGCUAGAGUCCGGUAGGGGCCCACGGAAUUCCUGGUGUAGCGGUGAAAUGCGCAGAUAUCAGGAGGAACACCGGUGGCGAAGGCGGUGGGCUGGGCCGGAACUGACGCUGAGGAGCGAAAGCGUGGGGAGCGAACAGG
rnacentral:rRNA from 1 species